GUCAAAAGCUCAGUUAAUUUUGAUUUCCUGUACGAACAGAGAUUUCGAAAACAUCGCUUAUCCAUUCUUUUGAUUUUGCGGAUUUCUUGUAAACAGUGUCAGAAAAGAUACCACGUGAAUAACCGGCUUUGGCAGCCAAGCGUCCAUAACGACGCUGCUUUGUGAUACUUCAAUGUCGCCUAUUCCGGUUCUUGUGGGCCAAAAUCCGUUGAGUUAGGUUGCUCAGCCACCAGCUGGGACCAUGAACCACGUUCAGUUCGUAAUGAGACAGGUCAGUUUUACCCUACUGUUCACUGAUCGUUGAAACAGCAAUCCGACUGAAUAUCAGAGGAGCCACAAGGUAUAAAACUUGGCUCAUUCUUUUGGUUGAAAUGCCAAGGGCACAUAAACACAAUUCGAGAGAUAAUGACCUAUAUGAUAUCUACUGAUGCCAAACUCCGGCAGUUGCAUUGCCCCAUCUGUUUGCUGUCAAUAUUAUAACACAGGACCGAUGUGCUUAUUGCAUAAUAAAAUUCAGCAACUAUACACUACGCGCAUUAUUCAAUGUACCCACACUUGUUU
rnacentral:ncRNA from 1 species